rnacentral:rRNA from 1 species
CCUACGGGAGGCUGCAGUAAGGAAUAUUGGUCAAUGGACGCAAGUCUGAACCAGCCAUGCCGCGUGGAGGAUGAAGGUCCUCUGGAUUGUAAACUUCUUUUAUUUGGGAAGAAACUCCCGAUUUCCAUCGGGAUUGACGGUACCAGAUGAAUAAGCACCGGCUAACUCCGUGCCAGCAGCCGCGGUAAUACGGAGGGUGCAAGCUUUACUGGGAUUAAAGGGUGCUUAAGGGGGCAGAGAAGGGCAGGUAGAAAUCUCCGGGCUUAACCCGGAAACUGCCAUUGAUACUAUUUGUCUUGAAUACUCUGGAGGUGAGCGGAAUAUGUCAUGUAGCGGUGAAAUGCUUAGAUAUGACAUAGAACACCCAUUGCGAAGGCAGCUCACUACGGAAAUAUUGACGCUGAGGCACGAAAGCGUGGGGAUCAAACAGGAUUAGAUACCCGAGUAGUC